rnacentral:tRNA from 1 species
CCAGCCAUAGCUCAGUUGGUAGAGCGGAGGACUGUAGAGUGAGAGUAGAUAUCCUUAGGUCGCUGGUUCGAAUCCGGCUGGCUGGA